UCCCUGGUGGCUCAGAUGGUAAAGAAUCUGCCUGCAAUGCAGGAGACCUGGGUUCAACCCCUGGCUCAGGAA
rnacentral:tRNA from 1 species